GUCGUCAGCUCGUGUCGUGAGAUGUUGGGUUAAGUCCCGCAACGAGCGCAACCCUUAUUGUCAGUUGCCAGCAUUCAGUUGGGCACUCUGGCGAGACUGCCGGUGACAAACUGGAGGAAGGUGGGGAUGACGUCAAGUCAUCAUGCCCCUUAUGACCUGGGCUACACACGUGCUACAAUGGACGAUACAACGAGUCGCGAGACCGCGAGGUUUAGCUAAUCUCUGAAAGUCGUUCUCAGUUCGGAUCGUAGGCUGCAACUCGCCUACGUGAAGUCGGAAUCGCUAGUAAUCGCGGAUCAGCAUGCCGCGGUGAAUACGUUCCCGGGA
rnacentral:rRNA from 1 species